AUGAUCAAUGAGAGGAGCCUCCUUGUGUUUGUUAACUCUUGCAUGAUGUGUUUCGGAAAUUUCUACUUUGUGCUUUGAGUGUACCGGUGCCCAAAUACUAAAAAAAAAAAACGACUCUUAUGCCUAAUAAUAAACAUGAGGGCGAGCCCUGGUGCAGCGGUAAAGUUGUGCCUUGGUGACUUGUUGGUCAUGGGUUCGAAUCCGGAAACAGCCUCUUUGCAUAUGCAAGGGUAAGGCUGCGUACAACAUCCCUCCCCUAUACCUUCGCAUAGCGAAGAGCCUCUGGGCAAUGGGGUACGAAGUUUUAUGCCUAAUAAUAAACAUGUAAUAAGAACAGAGAAUUUAAAGUUUCAAAGUCGAGGAUUAGAACACAAUUCCAUAUUCAGAUUACCAUACUUUUAGCUACAUGACACCACACAAAUUCAUGGCAGUGACAGUUAAAAAAUAUACGGGUGUCAUGUAAGACAUGUUAGUGCACUUAAUUAGGUCGUUGAUUUAUAGGAGACUUCAUUUGGUAAAGUUUAUCCACUCUUUUUAACUGUGUCAUUCGACUGCUAUGAUUAUUUUGAAGGAAAAUGUUCUUGUUCAAUUAAAGUGGGAUAAGUUUUGUUGCCCCUUUGAAUUUGUAGUGUAUUAUUUGGUGUACCCCCUCGAACUCCUAAUGAUAACUAAAUAAAAAUAAUAAUAUUAUCAUAAUACUACUUUACUAAAUACUGUUUAAGUUAAUAUAUAUUUUUUUGUCUUUCUAAAAUCCAUAAAGUUUGAAUUUCAUUCUUGUAAAAGUUUUUGUUUGUUUUUCGUUCUUACAAAAUUAUAUGUUAAGUUUGUACAGUCUAUUAUAACAACUAGAUGAUUCAUCCUUAUCCAUGAUUUUGAUUAUUACAAAGGAAUAAAUUAUUGAUGGACUAAUGAGUUAUUUUCAAGUGAACAAGACUUAUUACAUAUGAGCAUACUUAGUAUUAUUUUUUAUCUUAUAACUCGUAUUAGCUCCAUUCAUUAGUAGAAAAUUGGUUGUGUUAAAAGUAACAUCUAAUGUCCAAUGUGUUAUUAUAAACUAGUCUUCACUCUUUAUGUAAACAAGUAUGUAUAAACUGUGUUCUUUAUUCAUGUCUAUUGGACUUAAUCACUUACACAAAUCUACAUUAUAUCAAGUAUAAGUGACGUCCAAUCAUGAAUCUUGUAGCCAAAAAGGAAAGUGCAUGAACUUAACUUUAGUAAAUUCACUUUGUUUUUGUUAUUUUGAAUUGCUAACAUUUGAAUUUCGAGUAAGUAAGGAUAGAAUAGAAGGCAAUAGAAGAAAACACAAAAAUUUCCUUAGAGGUUGUUAUUGCUAAAGAGAGGAGCAAAUGUAGUUGUUUGUACGUUUGUACUUUCUCUCUCCACAAGAGAGUGACACGUAGCACUGCCUCUAGCUAUGAGAUAACGGUCAAAUUAGAGACAAGUGUUAUUCCUGUAAUGGAUACUUGCAUGAAGUCUAUAAAAAGCUAUCAAGGCUCUACUAUCAAUAGCAAGAAGAAAUUAAAACAUAAAUAAGUCAAAAGCAAGAGCAUUCUGAAGUGAGAAUUUGUCAAGUCAUUAGACGACACUACACAGUGUUUAAUUAGUUCAUCAUUUGUAAAACAAAUUUAUUCAUUUGCAUUCGAGCUGAAGUGUUUAUCUACUUUGUUGAGUGAUUUGAAUUUGUGUUUCAUUCAAACAUUAUUUGUUUGUGAAAGUUAGGAGUGACUUAGUGUUAAACAAUACUUGGGUGUUUUAGAUUCAGGGGGAGUCUAAGGGUGUGCCAGUAGUGGCCUGUGGCAGAACAGAGUAAUUGUUUGUAAUCAAGCUUUGAUUAGUGGAACCAUUCAUUGGUUUAUGAAGGAGAAUUGGACAUAGCUCUAUUUGAGUGAAUAAGUAUAAACUAAGUGUUUCUACUUAUCUCUUAAGCUAUUUGGUUAGUAUCAUCUUAAGUUUAUCUUGACAUGCUUUGUCACACAAGUGUUCUUUUGAAAAACCUUUGUCUAAAUAUAGUUUUAUCAAUCACUGGACAACAUUGUUUUUGUUUUCACCAAAAUUGGUUUUAUUCAUUGAAUGACACUGUCAGUAACUUGGUUUCUGCAUAUUUGUUUGUGAAAAACAACUUUUUGCAAAAAAAAUUCAUUUUUAUCUAACACACCAUUCAAUCCCCUUCUAGUGUGAUAUUUGUUAUUUCGGUUGGUAUCGGAGCUCAGCCUCUCAGGUUGAGUAUUCAACAAUACAUAGGAAAAGAUCCAAUCAAAGAAAGAAAUGGAAGAAGGAUAUGCUACCAACAAGCCAUCAUUGUUCAAAGGAGUCAAAUAUGACUACUAGAAGGAAAGGAUGAUUGCACACUUUGAGUCCAUACAUAUCAAUCUGUGGGAUGUUGUAGAGAAUGGAAAUCACAUUCCAUAUGAUGUUGAGUUGAACGAGAUCCCUAUGAGUCAAUGGAUGGAAGAGCAAAAAAUAGAGAUUUUUGCUUAACUCCAAAGCUUGAAAUGCUUUGUUUUGUGUUCUCUUUAAGGAAGAAUACCCCAAAGUCCACAACUUCGGAAGUGCUAAGCAUAUGUGGGACACACUGGCCAUAACAUAUGAAGGGACAUCAUAGGUAAAGAGAAACAAGUUAACUCUCCUCAUGUGAGAAUGAAUUAUUUACUAUGGUAGAAGGUGAAAAUAUAUAAUGUAUGUUUGGAUGCUUCCAAAUCAUAUUAAAUGAACUAAAUCUUUAGGAAAAAGUUAUAAUAAUUAUGAUCACAUUGACAAAAUUUUGAGAAGUCUAUCUAGAAAGUUGAGACCACAGGUUACAACCUUGAGAGCUCUAAAGAAUCUUGAUACCAUAUCCCUCUAAGAACUUGUUGGAACCUUAAAGGUCCAUGAACAAGAACUUCAACAAUAUGAAGGAAUCAAGAACGAAAAAUCUCUUGCUCUCAACGCUCAGAAAGUAAAGAAAGCACUACUGUGACACCCUCAAAUUUCGAUAAUUGAAAAUAGAUGUUUGAUGUUUUUCUUGUGUUAUUUGAUUACUUGAUUAAUUUGGAUGAGUUAAGGUAUUGUGUGAAUUAGCCAUGUGUAAUUUGCUUGAUGUGGAUAUUGAGUUAUGUCGACUUUUAUUGAUUGAGGUUGAAAUUAUGAGAUUUUUAGUUUUACCUAAACCUGUUUUACUAAAACUGCAUGGAUUCGUUAAUUGUUGGAUAGCCUUAAAAUUUGAACUGUAGGCUUGCAAUCCAAUUUUGCACAUUCUGACUGUUGAGAUUUACAAUAUAACAUCUUGAGUAUGAGAUAUGAUAUUUUCACCGAAGCAGUAAAAUUUGUUGGAGCAGAAUUCGCCCAGGCGAAUUUGAGCUGGAUCAGCUUGCCCAGGCAAGCCAAAUUUUGCUGGGGCAAGUCUUGCAGGCUACAAAUAUGUCCAGUAGCAUAAAACAACCAUUUUCACCUUCAUCUCUUCCCUUAAACCCUCCCCCAACAUCCCCAACCUCCUCUUCCACCACCGAUGACCGCCACGAGAAGCCUUUGCUUGUUGUCGGACCACCGCACGAAGAAGAACAAUUUAAUCAGUGCGAAAUCUUCAGAACUCAACUCAAGGAUUUAGUAGAUAACAAAGCCUCCAAUCCUUCCUUCGUGGUUUCUUCGAGCAUAUGAGCAGCAGUAGGUGACUUAGAGGGAAGUCUUUUGUUGGAGCCGCCAAGCCGACAUGAUAAUGUUGGAAUUUAUUUUGGGGGAGAGUUGUGUUUUGUUAUGAACUCUUCCUUAGUUGGUUCCUUGACUCUUUUUUAUUGGACAUGUCCCAAGUUUAGAUAUAUGUAAAAACUGAAGCUGACAUUU